CCCGCAGUUUAAAGACUUAACUCAGCGGCUUUCAGGGCCUGUGGUUGAGGGACUCCGAAAGAACUGUUGCUGGUGGACCGGUUCAGGGUCUUGACUUCGCCACACAAAAGAACUUGAGAGCACGUCCAAAGUAAAGCUAAGACCUCUAGUACAGUGUUCAAUGGAACUGGUGAGAAAAGACGUCCUUGCUGUGUUCCUGAUAUGAAGAGGAAAGCAGUCCUUCUCCAUUAAAUGCUGACAACAUGAGCCUCCCGUGGUCGGAACGGGCUUGUGAAGGCGGUGCUGGGGUGCACCAGGGCAGCAGCUACAGUCAUGCCGUGAGGGCCCAGAGACUGUGUCACUGUUGUGAUGAUAGAGUGCAGGGCCCUUCAAAGGGAGGUCUGUGGGCCAGCAGCACCCAAGGGCUCUCCUCCCAAGCACCCAACGAGCAAGAUGGGUCUGAGGAUACCUGUGAGAAGUAAUUCAACACAUCUUUCACACAUGGGCCAAUUUGCUGGUCUAAGUUAAAUUGGAGUGACAAGGACAGCUGCUUAAAGACAAGCUACAGAUGACAGAGCCGAGGUCGUCUCCUCCAGGUCCCAGAGCUGCUAUGUGGCUGAGCUGCAGUUCAGAGCCAGGGUGACUCAGCUUGCAAGCCUGUGCUCCUCACCUCCGUGGCAUGCUUCUCCCAGGCUGGCACUGAAUCACCGGAAGGACUCCUUAAGACAUGGAUAGGGGAUCCACCCCAGAGGUCCUGAAUCAGCAAGUCUGGGGAGGAGACUGAGAAUUGACUUUUCUAUCAAGUUCCCCAGUGAUGCUGAUGCUGCUGGUGUGCGUACCACGUUCUGGAACCUCCGCUCCCUGCUCUAGGGCCUUCUGGGUGGAGCCCUAGAGCUGAGCUCCCAGCUGUGGGCAUGGCAGGCACUGAAGAGUGUUGCUUUAGGGUAAUGUGUUAACAGUCUAAGAAGGUGCGUGGUGAGUAGGCUGACCAUUUCUCUCUCUUAUUGAACAAAAUAUUGCUAAGCCCUGGAUUUUCUCAGCUGUAAAUCACUGAAAUCUGAAUAAAAUUACCCCUACAAUGAAUCAAUCAAUAGAUUAAAA
rnacentral:lncRNA from 1 species